rnacentral:lncRNA from 1 species
GAGUUCAAUAAGAUAAGAUCAUCACCACCUCCAAAAUUCAAGUUCUUACAGGAUGCGGAUGAGAAACUACAUAGAAGGAAAUUGAUGCAAGAAGCAGGGGAGAAGGUCCAAAGGCAUGAUGUUUUUGCUCAGGAUCAUACCAAAAUACCUGCUAGUUCAAAUUCACACAAAGAUGAGGAUGAUGGGCCUUUUAUCACCAUCAUUAUUGACAGGAACAAAGAAAGAGAGCUUAAUGAACAAAAUCAUCAACUACCAGACUACCAGUCAAGCACUUCCCAGGUACUUCCUCUUGCUACUUCACCUUCAACAUCAAAAUCAGCAGCCAAGAAAAGUUCCUUCUUUCAUUAGAUCUCCGUGAUCAAGUAAAACGAGAUAGUUUUUUUUUUUCCCCAUGUAUUUCUAUUAACCAAC